ACGGGAGGCAGCAGUGGGGAAUAUUGCACAAUGGGCGAAAGCCUGAUGCAGCAACGCCGCGUGAAGGAUGAAGGCCUUUGGGUCGUAAACUUCUGUCCUUGGGGACGAAACAAAUGACGGUACCCUUGGAGGAAGCCCCGGCUAACUACGUGCCAGCAGCCGCGGUAAUACGUAGGGGGCGAGCGUUAUCCGGAAUUAUUGGGCGUAAAGAGUGCGUAGGUGGUCUUUUAAGCGCGGGGUGAAAGGCAAUGGCUUAACCAUUGUUAGCCUUGCGAACUGGGAGACUUGAGUGCAGGAGAGGAAAGCGGAAUUCCUAGUGUAGCGGUGAAAUGCGUAGAUAUUAGGAGGAACACCAGUGGCGAAGGCGGCUUUCUGGACUGUAACUGACACUGAGGCACGAAAGUGUGGGGAGCAAACAGGAUUAGAUACCCUGGUA
rnacentral:rRNA from 1 species